UGGCUCAGAUUGAACGCUGGCGGCAGGCCUAACACAUGCAAGUCGAGCGGUAGAGAGGUGCUUGCACCUCUUGAGAGCGGCGGACGGGUGAGUAAUGCCUAGGAAUCUGCCUGGUAGUGGGGGAUAACGCUCGGAAACGGACGCUAAUACCGCAUACGUCCUACGGGAGAAAGCAGGGGACCUUCGGGCCUUGCGCUAUCAGAUGAGCCUAGGUCGGAUUAGCUAGUUGGUGGGGUAAUGGCUCACCAAGGCGACGAUCCGUAACUGGUCUGAGAGGAUGAUCAGUCACACUGGAACUGAGACACGGUCCAGACUCCUACGGGAGGCAGCAGUGGGGAAUAUUGGACAAUGGGCGAAAGCCUGAUCCAGCCAUGCCGCGUGUGUGAAGAAGGUCUUCGGAUUGUA
rnacentral:rRNA from 1 species